AGGCCAUAUCACAUUGAACCGCCGGUUCUCGUACGAUCAGCGAAGUUAAACCACGUCGAAUCUGGUCAGUAACUAGAUGGGUGACCGCUUGGGAAUACCAGGUGAUGUAAG